GAUGAACGCUAGCGGGAGGCCUAACACAUGCAAGCCGAGCGGUAUUGUUUCUUCGGAAAUGAGAGAGCGGCGUACGGGUGCGGAACACGUGUGCAACCUGCCUUUAUCUGGGGGAUAGCCUUUCGAAAGGAAGAUUAAUACUCCAUAAUAUAUUGAACGGCAUCGUUUAAUAUUGAAAGCUCCGGCGGAUAGAGAUGGGCACGCGCAAGAUUAGCUAGUUGGUGAGGUAACGGCUCACCAAGGCGAUGAUCUUUAGGGGGCCUGAGAGGGUGAUCCCCCACACUGGGACUGAGACACGGACCAGACUCCUACGGGAGGCAGCAGUGAGGAAGAUUGGUCAAUGGGUGCAAGCCUGAACCAGCCAUCCCGCGUGAAGGACGACUGCCCUAUGGGUUGUAAACUUCUUUUGUAUAGGGAUAAACCUACCCUCGUGAGGGUAGCUGAAGGUACUAUACGAAUAAGCACCGGCUAACUCCGUGCCAGCCGCCGCAGUAA
rnacentral:rRNA from 1 species